rnacentral:rRNA from 1 species
ACAUGCAAGUCGAACGGAAACAGGCGGUAGCAAUACUGCGCUGUCGAGUGGCGCACGGGUGCGUAACACGUAUGCAACCUACCCUUAACUGGGGAAUAACCCUGUGAAAGCGGGGCUAAUACCCCAUAAUAUUAUGGUAAGGCAUCUUACUAUUAUCAAAGAUUUAUCGGUUAGGGAUGGGCAUGCGCCCCAUUAGUUAGUUGGUUAGGUAACGGCUAACCAAGACUGUGAUGGGUAGGGGUUCUGAGAGGAUUAUCCCCCACACUGGUACUGAGACACGGACCAGACUCCUACGGGAGGCAGCAGUAAGGAAUAUUGGGCAAUGGACGCAAGUCUGACCCAGCCAUGCCGCGUGCAGGAUGACGGCCUUAUGGGUUGUAAACUGCUUUUGUAUGGGAUUAAAGUGUUGUACGUGUACGACAUUGCAAGUACCAUACGAAUAAGCAUCGGCUAACUCCGUGCCAGCAGCCGCGGUAAUACGGAGGAUGCAAGCGUUAUCCGGAAUCAUUGGGUCUAAAGGGUGCGUACGUCGAUUCUCACCUCAGUGGUGACCCUUCCGGGCUCAACCCGGGA